rnacentral:lncRNA from 1 species
CUGAGCAAUGAGUCUUUAGGAUUGGGGAAUAGGUUUUAGAAAAGUCGGCAGAAGCAGCAAAAGAGAAAAAAAGAGAGAAAAGCAAGAAAAGAAAAAAUUUCGCUUACAAAAAUUUGGAAAAAAGCUAACAAACCAGCCUAGAUCGAAGGGGCUUUUCUCCUUCAUUAUAGAUCAUAUUCCAGUUAUUGUUCUUUCUACAUUAUUGUGAGACAGAGGGGAAUAACUUUUGUGUUGAAGAGUUUUGCCGAAAACUAUCAAAAAUUCCUCAAAUGGAAGCCCAAACUUUGCUCCUCAAAAAUUUUUCUGCAGAAUACUGAGCCAAGGUUGACUGAACAGCCCUGUUCGUUACCUGAUUCUGACCAAUUCCGACCUUCUUUUGAGGCAAUUAUUUUUUCUACACUAUCUCUACUUGUAGGGGAACAAUUUUGGUUUUGCAAACCUCCUGAAAAAACGUCAUUAAGCACCUCAAAUUCAAGCUUGAAAUUGCAACUUCGUUAGUACAUGGAACACUGCAGCAAGAACUUGUUUGAUUCGUUUUCCGCAUUUGGGGAGCAUUUUUCUCGAGUUUUUCCACAUUGGUUCGAGUCCUCAAACAUCUAUAGGUAAUUAUAACCCUUUCUCUCAGUUGAAUUAACAUUUUUCAUGAGAUUUUAAGCAAUUACAUGAGUUUUUAUGUGUUUUACACCUUAGAUUUCAUUUUUCUCAUGAUUUAUAGUGUUUGAUAGUCCUAUUUGAUGUUUAAAUUAACUCAUGAGAUCAUGAAAAGCAUGUUUAUGUCAAGAUCUGACUUUAAACGCCCUUGGAAAAAUUUUCAGCCAGAUUUCAGCUAUUUUGGCCUGAAUUUUCCAGGUUCCGGUAGAUCGAUCCACUGGAAACUUCAUACCCACUGAAAACUUCAUAUUGAUUUAACUUAUGUUCCUUUUAUUUUUUGUUUGUUUGUUAUGGUUUGAUUCUCCAAAUCUAUGUGGCCUGAUGUUUUGGUGUUUGUGGGUCUGAUUAGUUGGGCUUAUCCUUUUUUUUGCUUUGGUAUGUGCAUGGGUUUUGAUGUUCAAACCCAAUAAUUUAUUAAAUCUUGAUUCAGUAAAAUAAGUUGGGCUGAUCUACCUUUUUUAACAACACUCCCGCCCAUUUUGCUGGGCCGAAGUGGGUUUGGCCCAAGCCACAACAAAUAAACAAAAAAAAAAAAGAAAAGGCGAGGUUCUAUUUUGUUAUUAGAAAACAAUUUUUGUAAUUUGGCCCCUGAUCUUAUAAAUAAUUUGGUGUGGCUCUAAAAUUUUGGAUUUCUUUCAUUUAGGUCUUUAAUUUAAUUACAGUUUCAUCCUUAAACUUUAUUUUUAUUCAAUUUUGACCUCUAUUUUCUUGAGAAUUAUAAUUUGACCCCAAAAACUUCUCAAUUUUUAUAAUUAGGUCCCUAUUCUUUAUUAUUUCUUAAUCACAAUUGUUUAUCCUCUUUAAAUUGUUAAUCAUGCUUCAAUUAUAUGCAUCUAAUUUAUAAAUUUUAGGGAUUUUAUGUUUAUUCAUAUUUCAUUGGAAUAAUAAAGUAAAGUUGCUAUAUAUUUACAUUUUCUUUUAAAUUAUUAAUAAAUUAGUGCAUUGAUCAUUUUGUUAAUUUCGAAGUAUAAAUAGGGCAAACUCUACCUCAUUUAGUCACUACUUUAAGGGAGAUGCCCUUUAUUAUUUUUAAUCCUUUUUUAUGUGCUCCUAUGUGUUUUUAUAUGUGAUUGCAUGCUUUAAGUACUUUUUCUUUUGUUCACUCAUUUUAUUCAUUUGAAGCCUUUAUUUAUUUUAUUUAAUUUAGAUGUUUGUUUGGAAGGCAUUUAAAUGCCAAUUUGUAAUAGAUAUGUUGUAUCCUCUUGCCCAAGAAAUGUAUUUAGAUAGGUGAUGUAAUAUAUAGAUUUUAUUGUUUUACCAAAAAUGUAAUUAGUCAAAUAAAUGUAAUAGAUAGGCUCAUUAUUUUCAAAAUUCCCCUUUUAGAUUGUAAGUUAGGGUCCCUAAUGUAAUAGUUAGAUUUUAUUUGCUUGCAUACUUGUGUGGUUAUGUAUUUUAUUUGGUUUCUUUAGAGUUUUGCAUCUAGAUAGUGUACCUAUGUAUUAUGUGCUCUAUAUACUCUAUGUGUUUUAUGUGUUUAUUUGCUUUAAUUACGCUUUAUAUAUUUUAUUUAUUUAUAAUGAGCGACUGACAUCACCACACUAGUCCAAUGCUAGUUGUGGCUUUUUUCCCUGAUUUCUCACUAGUCCAACUCUAAUGAGGACUUGUAGAAAUGGAUUAGUUCAAUGCUAGACCCUUUAGGUCAUCGAUACGCUAGAUUCAUGGUUUGAUGCAACAUUUAUUGCAUCUCAUGUAUUUUUUUCUAUUUUUAGGUUAUUUUCAUUUGCAUGAUUUUUUUCUACUAUUAUUUCCUUACCCUCUAUACGUUUGGACGAUUAUUUAGAAUUGUAUCUCAUUUUAGGAAAUUAGAAGUAAGUUAAUUCAUUUGCUUGACUAGAUUAGAAGAGCCACUCUUCGAAUAUGGGAAAUGAACGAAUAUGACUUUUUAGCUUUAGCACGCUUUACCCUCUCUAUAAGAAGGAAAAUUGUAUCACGAAUUUUAGCAUCUCGUACCCGUUAUGCUGCAUUCUUCUCUUCUAGGUCACGUGUAUUUAUCUAUAUAGCAUAAUUUUCUUUUCUUAGACUCUCAUCUUUUGCAUAUUCUUGACCUCUUUAAGGGAUUAGUUUUGGGCUUCAUAAUUAAUGUGAUUUGCACCAAUUAAACUUCGAAGAGACAUUUUGUCUCUUUCAAUACCCCCAGGUCUAGGUUUGUAUCUAUAUAGAAGCAUCUGAAUGUGAUAAGUUCUAUAUGUUAGAUUAGGAAAAUUUUUGGCUAAAUCUUGCAACUAGUCUUGAUUAGGUUGAAAAGAUGUUUUAAAUCAAAAUCUUUGCCUUCCUUUUUUCAACCGUGACUCCCGAAUUUUUUUCUCUUAUUUUCGAAAAUCUGGAGUCAUUUAAAAGGGUUUUUUUUACUUUUUUCAUUUUCAAACAUUUUUUGGUAGUUUGGUACACCUAAAGUCGAUACCAAGUGGCGACUCUACUUUUUUUUCUAAAGACCCUUUUUGGACUAUUAAUUUGGAUCCAAACUGUUGCAUUUUCUAUGUUCUAUUUUAGGCCCUUUUUCUUUAUUUUCUAAAAUAAAAUCAAAAACUCAUUUUUCUAAAACCCUUUUCUAUUUUUCAAAAAUGGGGCACGACAGGGUAAGUUUGGAAUGAGAUUAUCUUCUCUCUUCAAAUGAGUUUCUAACCGUCUGCUUUGAAAUUGGUUGACAAUGCUACAUAAAAUCAAAAUUAGGGGAGCUCAGUGAUUUUUUCAAAUAUCAGAGGUGUUGAGUGAUACUAGGAAGUUAGUAAUAUUUUCAAAAUUUAGGAGUAUUAAGUGAUAUCAUCAAAAACCUCAAUGGGUGUUUUUGGAAUUAUCCCUAAUUAUUAACCACAAACAUGUUCUCCUCUUUCAGCAAUUGAAUGGAUUUGGCUACAAACAUGUGCACAGAGGAGCUUUCGGAAUAUCUAUGUGCAAUCGGAUUCUUUGGUAUUAAUUGGAAUUCUUCAGCAU